rnacentral:rRNA from 1 species
UACAGAGGGUGCGAGCGUUAAUCGGAUUUACUGGGCGUAAAGGGCGCGUAGGUGGUAAAGCAAGUAAGAUGUGAAAUCCCUGGGCUUAACCUAGGAAGUGCAUCUUAAACUGCUUAACUAGAGUAUGGUAGAGGGUGGUGGAAUUUCCUGUGUAGCGGUGAAAUGCGUAGAUAUAGGAAGGAACACCAGUGGCGAAGGCGACCACCUGGACUGAUACUGACACUGAGGCACGAAAGCGUGGGGAGCAAACAGG